AAACCAUGCACCGAAGCUGCGGCAGCGACACUGUGUGUUGUUGGGUAGGGGAGCGUUCUGUAAGCCUGUGAAGGUGUGUCGUGAGGCAUGCUGGAGGUAUCAGAAGUGCGAAUGCUGACAUAAGUAACGAUAAAGCGGGUGAAAAGCCCGCUCGCCGGAAGACCAAGGGUUCCUGUCCAACGUUAAUCGGGGCAGGGUGAGUCGACCCCUAAGGCGAGGCCGAAAGGCGUAGUCGAUGGGAAACGGGUUAAUAUUCCCGUACUUGGUGUUACUGCGAAGGGGGGACGGAGAAGGCUAUGUUGGCCGGGCGACGGUUGUCCCGGUUUAAGCGUGUAGGUGUGUGUUCCAGGUAAAUCCGGUUCACUUUAACACUGAGGCGUGACGACGAGGCACUACGGUGCUGAAGCAACAAAUGCCCUGCUUCCAGGAAAAGCCUCUAAGCAUCAGGUAACAUCAAAUCGUACCCCAAACCGACACAGGUGGUCAGGUAGAGAAUACCAAGGCGCUUGAGAGAACUCGGGUGAAGGAACUAGGCAAAAUGGUGCCGUAACUUCGGGAGAAGGCACGCUGACACGUAGGUGAAGUGAUUUACUCAUGGAGCUGAAGUCAGUCGAAGAUACCAGCUGGCUGCAACUGUUUAUUAAAAACACAGCACUGUGCAAACACGAAAGUGGACGUAUACGGUGUGACGCCUGCCCGGUGCCGGAAGGUUAAUUGAUGGGGUCAGCGCAAGCGAAGCUCCUGAUCGAAGCCCCGGUAAACGGCGGCCGUAACUAUAACGGUCCUAAGGUAGCGAAAUUCCUUGUCGGGUAAGUUCCGACCUGCACGAAUGGCGUAAUGAUGGCCAGGCUGUCUCCACCCGAGACUCAGUGAAAUUGAACUCGCUGUGAAGAUGCAGUGUACCCGCGGCAAGACGGAAAGACCCCGUGAACCUUUACUAUAGCUUGACACUGAACAUUGAGCCUUGAUGUGUAGGAUAGGUGGGAGGCUUUGAAGUGUGGACGCCAGUCUGCAUGGAGCCGACCUUGAAAUACCACCCUUUAAUGUUUGAUGUUCUAACGUGGACCCGUUACCCGGGUUGCGGACAGUGUCUGGUGGGUAGUUUGACUGGGGCGGUCUCCUCCUAAAGAGUAACGGAGGAGCACGAAGGUUGGCUAAUCCUG
rnacentral:rRNA from 1 species